CAUUCUCUUCUUCCAUGACAAUCACCUCCUCUUCUAGCAAGCAGAGAUCAGUCCUGAUAAGAUGAAGCUCACACGAGUCUUAUCUCUAUCAACCCAAAAUUGAUGUUGGCUUCUGUACUGGAAAAGGUCCCUGAAGGGGAGCUGACAUCUGGAACUAUCUUUCAGUCAAGCAUUAAUAGAUGCAGAAAUUUAGCUUCCAGAAGCCAAAUCAAAUUCAAAUCAGAAUGGAACAGGUAAUAGAUCACUUUUCAGAUGAGUUGCAAGUUUAAGUCUGUAUUGACCAUUCAUUCUCCUGGCUUCCCCUGUGCUGUAAAAGUACGUGGAUAUCAUGUGGAAGAACCAUUCUCUCAGUGGCAACUUAGAUCGUAAAUUCUGACCCAGGAAAAUGAAGGGACUUAUGAUUCUGAACCUGGAGAUCAGCUGAUGAGCUCAAGGUACCUGUGCUGGCUGAAACCUUUCUCUUUAGAACGCAUGUUUCAAAUGAACGACAAGCCAAAUGGCUUGUGCAAGGGGAAGAUUUGGGUUUUGUUUAUUGCACAUAACUUUUUACUAUUAAAAGGUUGAAUGCAGCGGUUAGUACUCUUGGUAGACGGUCAUGUUUCAUGUCUUGAGGACCUGUUAAUUUUUCUGAAAUGUCAAGCUGUAUUUGUGGUUAAUGUGGAUGGAAGUGUACUAUUCUUUUCUGUCUCCAAAGGAAUUGUCUGUUUUUUCUCUCGAUCCACAUUCCAUAAAUUAUGGAGAAACAGCUCUACUGAAGCUUGGUUAGUGCAAAUGAGAAGAUGUGCCCUGUAUGAAAGGUUUUGAGUUUCCAGACUAUUCACUUCCUCAUUAAAAAUUAGUAACAGAAAGGUGAAAUGAAGCUGAUUGUAAGGAAAAUAAAAGAGUAAGAAGAUUA